UACGGAGGGUGCGAGCGUUAAUCGGAAUUACUGGGCGUAAAGCGCACGCAGGUGGCUGAGUAAGUCGAUUGUGAAAGCCCUGGGCUUAACCUGGGAAUUGCAGUCGAUACUACUCAGCUAGAGUAUGGGAGAGGGCAGUGGAAUUCCCGGUGUAGCGGUGAAAUGCGUAGAUAUCGGGAGGAACAUCAGUGGCGAAGGCGGCUGCCUGGCCCAAUACUGACACUGAGGAGCGAAAGCCAGGGGAGCAAACGGG
rnacentral:rRNA from 1 species